rnacentral:misc_RNA from 1 species
GAUGAAGAACGCAGUGAAAUGCGAUACUUGGUGUGAAUUGCAGAAUCCCGUGAACCAUCGAGUCUUUGAACGCAAGUUGCGCCCGAAGCCAUUAGGCCGAGGGCACGCCUGCCUGGGUGUCACACGUCGUUGCCCCCCCAUCUACUCCUUCGGGAUUGCGGGGGGCGGAUGAUGGCCUCCCGUGCGCCUCGUCGCGCGGUUGGCAUAAAUGCCAAGUCCUCGGCGACGCACGCCACGACAAUCGGUGGUUGCGAAACCGCGGUUGUCCGUCGUGUGCGGUCGUCGCGCAUCGAGGGCUCGAAAAAAUUGCCGGGCUCCGGCUCGGCUUUCAACGCGACCCCAGGUCAGGCGGGGUUACCCGCUGAAUUUAAGCAUAUCAAUAAGCGGAGGA